GGAUUUAAAGUCAAGGAUUCUAUCGCAAAUUUUUAAAGUCAGGGGAAAUAUACGAAAACGGGGAAAAUAUAAGAAUUUUGACUCUAUUUGCCCUAAGUAAAAUCAAGCCCAAACUAAAAACUCUCUCUUUUCCCUCUUCAAAAAAAAAAAACUCUCUUUUCUCUCUCUCAUAUACAAUCAGUCUCCUUCCUCGUAUCUCUCACUCUCUCUCAAUCUCACAGAUACGCACACACAUCCCCCACCGCUUCCUCCUCCGGCGAAGGGCGCCGUCCUCGACCACCUACGCCACAGGCAUCUCCUCCGUCUCACCUCUCGCUCCCUGUCUACCCCCUUCUAUCACUCAGCGCGCACGGCGAGGCUGCACAUGCAGCGCCGCCUCCGUCGCUACGCCGCCGCCGCAGUCACCAUCUCCACGCCUUCCAUCUGUAAUUUUCGGCCUUGCUACCUCUCGUUUUGCUACCCGAGGUUUGCUAUCUCAAUUUUAUUCAAUUACAAUGCUAAUUUAAAAAACCUAAAACUUGAAAUCCUUAACACCCAAACUCCCUUCACUCCCUAAUUGACUGUCGCUGCUGUGACCACCAUCUCGCCGCCCCUCGCACCUUCAAAAUCACAGGUCGUUGUAGUUGCUGCUCUCGUCGCAGUUGCGCUCCUACUGGCGGUGCUACAGGUGCCGCUGCAACUGCCCCUGCUGUCGAAGAAAAGAAGAAAAAAAGGUGUGUGGAGGAGUUCUCUUUUCGAAAUUCUCGUACUAAUUGCAUAUUUUGUUUCUAUUUUCUGCAUUUUUUUUGUUGCUUUUAUUUCAAGAAAUUUUAGGUUUCUAAGUUAUGUUCUUUCCCAUUUGCACUAUUUUGUUGUGCAAAUGAUUUACAGAAUCAGUUAAAU
rnacentral:lncRNA from 1 species